GCUGGGUUACGACGCAGUGCUACGGCAUAGCAGGAAUCGUAGCAGCGCUA
rnacentral:precursor_RNA from 1 species